rnacentral:rRNA from 1 species
UACGGGGGGGGCAAGCGUUGUUCGGAAUUACUGGGCGUAAAGGGUGCGUAGGCGGUUCGCUAAGUUGGAUGUGAAAACUCUGGGCUCAACCCAGAGCCUGCAUCCAAUACUGACGAGCUAGAGUUCUGGAGGGGGUAGCGGAAUUCCUGGUGUAGCGGUGAAAUGCGUAGAUAUCUGGAGGAACACCGGUGGCGAAGGCGGCAUCCUGGACCGACACUGACACUGAGGAGCGAAAGCCAGGGGAGCAAACGGG